GCGGUGAGCAAAGGGGUUCCCAACUGUGCUCUCGUGGAGCUUAUGUGAAGUUAUAAACAACAAACAAAUACAAACGCAAUAAAAAGGUCUUCUUCAUUUCCCAUUCCUGAAGUACAGAAAGAGAAGACAAAUCAGUUUGAUGAACGAAAACUUCCUAAGGGACUGAACCAGCGAGUGGACUCAACUUUGGGAGCCAGUGCCCUUGUUUGCCUUAAUCUGUCAGCACCAUGGAGAGCAGCUUGUUUUAUACACCCCCACGCCCCCACCCCGUAACACGUGGUGAAGGAGUAACCAAGAUUGUUUUAAGGAGCUAUAAUUCUGUGGGUCUCAUAGUAUUAUUGAUAAAAUAUUUGCUUCAGACUGCCCAAGCACCUUCCAGAAAAAUCCGGGCUUCCAUAGUGGGGGGUGGGAGGGGAAGGAAUGUUUAGUGUUCAAGUUACUAAUGUGACUAAUGUACUACUGUAGUAUAUAUCAGUACAUCAUUCCUUUUUAUUGCUGAAUAAUAUUCCAGGUGACGUUAGGGGAAAAGCCACCGUUGUUCUGAUAACUCAGCCUUUAAUCUUAUUGGGGAUCUUUUAUAAGUGAUGAAUCUAUUUUGUCUUCUGCUUUUGAGGUUUUCUCCUUAUCUGGCUUUAGGAUUUUGACCAUGAUGUGUCUUUUGUGGAUCUCUUUGCCUUUAUCCUACUUGAACGUCACUGGUAUCCUGGAUGUAUAAAUUAAUGUUUUUCAAUAAAUUUGGCAAGUGUUCAGCCAUUA